UGGUACAUAUAAAAUACGAUUAAUUAUAUGAUAACACAUAUUUUUGUAACCUAUGAUGACACAUAUCUAUAAUAAUAAAACAGAGUUUUCUCUCACCUUAGCUCUCCACGUCCUUCUUUAGGGGUGGGCAUUUGUUGACAUGUGUCGCCAUUUAAUUGGUUGCGCUUUUUUACUUGUGUUUGGGUUUUUGCUUUACACUUGCGUAAUGGGCUUCAGAAAACAAUUCAAGCCCAUUGUAAAAUUAAUUUUCCUCGCCUUCUCGCCUAAGACCCUGGUAUUUUAUCAGAUGAAAGUUCCAGAAAACUCAAAACGUCGAUUGCUUCUCCGUAACGUCUCCUCCUUGCAUUGAUACGUUCUUUACUCCCAACUUUUGCGUGAUUAACCCACUUUUCCCACUCUGCAUCAUUCAAUUGACCUCAUCGAUGAAGCUUCGAGUACAAAUAUCCCAUCUUCCAACGAUGAACAACACAACUUUGACUUAGCGGUUUUGACUUAAAUCGGCAUGACGUCUCUCUCGCAGGUUAUGUAUCAGAGCCUUCUUUUUCAUCUGUUUAGAGUUGGAAGAUGAUUAUUUGUUUUUUUUUUUGUUCUUGGUUUCAUAGAUGUUACUAGAUAAGCAGGCCAUGAAGACAAUUCUUCUAGAAAUUCCUUCCCUUGCCAGAUAGACGACUUCAACUGCUGCCAGCUACUGGGAAUUUGUGAGUGUGAAAUAAGCAGAGCUAAAGCACUUCUUAAGAUUCAGUGGCAGACACUUAUCAUGCAUUGUUUCCAGAAGGAACUCCCAUGGAGUUUCAACGCAUCUUGGAACUCAAAGGUCUUAAGAAAGCUGAUCAGCAGAUCAUACUUGAUGAUUUCAACAAGUAUGGCCCAGGGUUGACAUAGCCCUCUGUUUCAGGGGCAAUGCCACAAGUGGUUCCAAUUUACCUGCACUGCUGCUGGUAAUCACUAAUCCGGAUACAACAGAUGGGUUUAUAGCAAGCAAGGAUGUGUUAACAAGGGAGCAGCUCUUGGUAGAGGAGCUGCAACCUCUGGCUUUAAUAAGUUCAUUGAACUUACCGAAGCAGGCAAAGACCUCAAAGAUGGAAGUUUAUCACAGUGAAUGCUUAACUCAUUCUCUCUCUCUCUCUCCUUUAAUAGGACAAACAAGCAUUCUUCACCUGGAUUAAACCAGGCUCAUCAGCGACUGCAGUAGGAGCUUGAAAGCUCCAUCUCUUGAGUUUCCAGAGUACAUCAAACAGAGAGGAUAUGAUCUCCAUGAUGUUCAAGCAUAUUUGAAGGUUUUUUUCCUUUAUCAAUGAUAUGUGUUUUUUUGUGUGUCAAAACCCUUUGUCAAACUCUAAUUCCUGUAACACAAAUAUUCAUUGUAUAUGCUAUAAAGACGCAGACUUUAGUGAUAUGAUAUCAUAUGUCUAUAUUUUGAUCAGGUGAUCUAAUGAAUCUAAUGUUUGGAAACAGAGUAUUAAUAUUUUUUACCAUAUUUUUUUUCUUUUGAAAGAAAAAGAAGAAUUCAUCUCCGACUUAUCCAAAGUGAGUCAUUCUUUUCUGUUUUUUUGUCAAG